UGGGUUCAUUUAAAACGCUGGGUCUGUAGGUGAAUAACAAGCAAGUAGCCCGAACAAGACGUGACGUGGAUGACGAAGUGCGGGAAUAUACGUUUUCCCGUAGAAUGGAUUGCGAUCAGGAAAAGAUGUAGGCGUUUGAACUACGUAGUCUAAAAGCACUUUGCUGAAAUAACAGCUAUGAAUUGAUCAUCGGUUCAGUUAGUGCAAAAAGGAGUGGUGCGUAAAACUACCUAGACGCAAGUGGCACUAGCGUCCAUUUUUCGUAGUAUCGUUUGAUGUGCGGGGACUGCGGGGUAAAGGAGGAGUUCGUGGCACGUUGUCCGCACAAUCAGUUGCGCCUAGGCAGCCGAGGCGAAAGCCGACGUCUAUGCGACGCUCGUCUCCGUGUUUUUUACGGAAAUAUGUCUAAUCAAGCGAGAUCUUCGAGGUGCUCAAAAACCAACUAGUUCCAGUGAAACUAAUUACUUGAAUAACGAAAUUUUGAAUAACGAUGCUAUGGAUAACCAAAUGUUGAAUAAUGAUACUUUUGAGAUUUUGAAUAGCCAGAUUUUGAAUAACGAGAUUUUGAAUGACGAGAUUUUAAAAUAAAAAUUGAUUUAAUUGGAUUUUGAUUCAGACGAUUCAAUUUUUGAUAAAGAUUUUAUACCUUCAAGUUUAGAACUGCAAAAAAGUUCCGAAGAUUCAGACUGCUCAAUGGACAUCAUUCCUAACUCCCAGCCGAUUAAUAUUAUCAUUCCGGAGUCACCCGAAGAGUCUGAUCAAGAUAGUUUGGAAAAUCUAAUGAAGAAAGGGCAAGUUAGGAAACGUAAAAAGUAUGACAAGACACCAGCACAGAGGAAACAAAUGGAAAAAAUUGCAAAUAUGGAAAAUAAGUAUCAGUUAAAACCUGGAUGUAAUAUGAUUACUAAGUCAAGAUUAAUAGGGAUUAAGCAGCCAUGAAAACAUUUAUUUAAUUAGAAAGAAGAAGUAAUAGAAUAAGUUUUUUAUGUAGUUGAUUUGAUUUCAAUUGGAGUGAUCUCAAACAAUUCUUUUGGAAUGUUCACUAAAUCCCAAGCAUAAUUUCAUAGAAUUUCAAGAAGUGGGCUCUCAGGAACAUAUGUAUACUAAUACUCUGAAUUUAUUGAGCUACCAAAGCUGUGAUUGUCGUUUUAGUACUGCAAAUUUUUAAAAUUUGCAAACUUUCAGUAUAAGUAUAAUUUCUUAUUAGACUUUUGUGAUGUUUAAUUAUUAUGUCAAUAUAAAAUAAAUUAUUUCGUAACGUG